UACGUAGGGUCCGAGCGUUGUCCGGAAUUAUUGGGCGUAAAGGGCUCGUAGGCGGUCUGUUGCGUCGGGAGUGAAAACUUACAGCUUAACUGUGAGCGUGCUUCCGAUACGGGCAGACUUGAGGUAUUCAGGGGAGAACGGAAUUCCUGGUGUAGCGGUGAAAUGCGCAGAGUAUCAGGAGGAACACCGGUGGCGAAGGCGGUUCUCUGGGCCGAUAUUGACGCUGAGGAGCGAAAGCGUGGGGAGCGAACAGG
rnacentral:rRNA from 1 species